rnacentral:rRNA from 1 species
AUUGAACGCUGGCGGCAGGCCUAACACAUGCAAGUCGAGCGAGCGGCGGACGGGUGAGUCAUGUCUGGGAAACUGCCUGAUGGAGGGGGAUAACUAAUGGAGACGGUAGCUAAUACCGCGUACCAUCAGAUGUGUCCAGAUGGGAUUAGCUCGUAGGUGGGGUAACGGCCCACCGAGGCGACGAUCCCUAGCUGGUCUGAGAGGAUGACCAGCCACACUGGAACUGAGACACGGUCCAGACGCCUACGGGAGGCAGCAGUGGGGAAUAUUGCACAAUGGGCGCAAGCCGGAUGCAGCCAUGCCGCGUGUGUGAAGAAGGCCUUCGGGUUGUAAAGCACUUUCAGCGGGGAGGCGUUACCCGCAGAAGAAGCACCGGCUAACUCCGUGCCAGCAGCCGCGGUAAUUC